rnacentral:rRNA from 1 species
UACGUAGGUGGCAAGCGUUAUCCGGAUUUAUUGGGUGUAAAGGGCGUGUAGGCGGGAGCGCAAGUCAGAUGUGAAAACUCAGGGCUCAACCCUGAGCCUGCAUUUGAAACUGUGUUUCUUGAGUGCUGGAGAGGCAAUCGGAAUUCCGUGUGUAGCGGUGAAAUGCGUAGAUAUCACGCAGAACCCCGAUUGCGAAGGCAGCAUACCGGUGCACAACUGACGCUCAGGCACGAAAGCGUGGGUAUCGAACAGG